AGGUAGUGAGUUAUCUCAAUUGAUUGUUCACAGUCAGUUACAGAUCAAACUCCUUGUUCUAUGCUUUUCCCUCUUCUCAUUACUGCAC
rnacentral:sRNA from 10 species